GGCCGGGAUAGCCCAGGGAAACCUGGAUUAAUACCGGAUGAGACGGGACCCGCGAUGGCGGGAUCCGGGAAAGGCGCUGCGGCGCGCCGGGGGAUGAGUCUGCGUCCCAUUAGCUAGACGGCGGGGUAACGGCCCACCGUGGCGACGAUGGGUAGCCGGCCUGAGAGGGUGACGGCCACAUUGGAACUGAGACACGGUCCAGACUCCUACGGGAGGCAGCAGCUAAGAAUCUUCCGCAAUGGGCGAAAGCCUGACGGAGCGACGCCCCGCGUGAACGAAGAAGGCCGUGAGGUUGUAAAGUUCUUUUCGGGAGGGGGAACAACCGUGGCAGGGAAUGGCCGACGGGAUGACGUGAAUCCCGGAAUAAGCCCCGGCUAACUACGUGCCAGCAGCAGC
rnacentral:rRNA from 1 species